rnacentral:rRNA from 1 species
UACGUAGGUGGCGAGCGUUGUCCGGAUUUACUGGGCGUAAAGGGAGCGUAGGCGGACUUUUAAGUGAGAUGUGAAAUACCCGGGCUCAACUUGGGUGCUGCAUUUCAAACUGGAAGUCUAGAGUGCAGGAGAGGAGAAUGGAAUUCCUAGUGUAGCGGUGAAAUGCGUAGAGAUUAGGAGGAACACCAGUGGCGAAGGCGGCUUUCUGGACAGUAACUGACGCUGAGGCGCGAAAGCGUGGGGAGCAAACAGGAUUAGAUACCCUGGUA